CCAGCCAAGCCUUGCCCAUGUUGGGGUGCGGACACCGGUGAUGCUAAGGGCCGGGACUUUUGGUCUCCCCGUGGGCACCAGCCUCAGCACAAUUAGACCUCAGACUGCAACAUCCAAAAAUCCAGGCCUUAUAGGAUUCCUUAUAGACCCCCUGAGUCAACCAGAUAUCCACCCUCCCAAGAAGUUGGACCCCAUGGCAAGAGAAUCCCAGUGGGCUGAGAAGCGGGUGAAACAGAAUGAAAAUUCCUCUCCUCUCCCUCCCUCCCCCCCUUUUUUUUUUUUUUUUUUUUUUUUUUUGAUGACGAAAGGCUUCUGAGCGAGGAUGUUUAUCAGAACGCUUGUUUUGCAAAUCUGAGACCAGCAGACCCCUGUGUUACACUGCAGCUGCUAUUUAAGGAGAUAUUUCAGCAAGAGAUCAGGAAGGGUUGGAGCAACUCAGCUCACGCUUUCCUAGCAGAUUUGGGCAGAAACCCCCCUUGCCCCCUGUGUCAUUUACCUGCCUCCCAUGGCCCUUACCUGCAUGCUUUGCCCCUCACACCCACCAGCACGCUGGCAUGGUGCCUGGCACACAGGAACGCUGACAGAUGGCGGGGCUGAAGGGACGCGGGCUGGCGGACAAACACUGCUGCUCCGGCAGCUGGAACAACGGUAGCACAAACGAAACACGAGCAAUUUCCUCCCUGCCAGCAAAGAAAAUAGCUGCAGGGAGAAGACAGGGAGGAUAACUGUCAGCCUGCUCGAGGUAUCAUGGGAGUAGGGGCAUAAUCCCAGCAUAAACAACAGCGUCUUAAUCUUGGUACAGAGUAAAGCCCCACAAAAGCCAGCGCUGUGCGAUUGCUGAAUCAGCCAUCCCACUGCCCACCUCUCCCCGACCUUUCCUUGUACAUGAUUGCGGCACGCAGGGGCUGCACUGUCACCAGCGGGCUGGGAGUGGAGGGUGACUCUGUCACAGUGCUGUGCAGAGAGGACAAAUGCUUCACAUUCCUGCUGCUCUCUCCUCCGCUGAAGAUGCUGAUUGUUGCUGCAGUGAAAUUCCUCCAGCUCUCUCGGGACUCAGCCCAGGCUCUGACUGCCUUCAGGAACUUAUUUUCCCUUUUGCCAUGGUUAAAAUCUGCUGCAGAUAUAUACCAUGCGCCGCUGGCCUGACUGUGUGUUUCCAAAGCUUUUGUAGCAGUGGUCGGAGCAGCUCCUGGCUCUCGCAGCAAGGCAAACAGGGAUAUCCAUGAUGCCCAAAGAGCGGGACCAGAAGCUCUGCGCAGAAGCCUUGUAAUCCUCAAUAAAGUCCAAAUCCUGUAAAUACA
rnacentral:lncRNA from 1 species